CAUAUUUCCCCAUCUUCUAGCAAUAUGAUGUCGUCACAAAAUUCCAAAUACUGGUGUGUUGCCAUAUUUAUUUAAGAAAGGAAAUUGAAACAGAAUCUGUGAAUAUUUCUGAGCAUCCUGAAUAUAUUUUUAAAAGACUUCUAUUUUUUUUUAAAAAAAAUAAUAAUCCAGAAUUGUUGUGCUUCUCUGGGGGAUGAAACACUAUACAUUAUUUACUACUCUCAUUACAGGUAUAUAGUGCUGUUACUGAAAUAGAUGCAUUCCUGGGCAUUGUUUCUUUUACAAAUAAUUCAGGACCAGAGGCAGAAAUAAAAAGUAAAAUUGAGACAGUGGGUUGCUGUGAGUUUUCCGGGCUGUAUGGCCAUGUUCCGGAAACAUGACCAUUCAACCUGGAAAACUCACAGCAACCCAGUGAUUCCAGCCAUGAAAGCCUUCAACAUUUACUACAUUCAAAAAGACUUAGUUCUAACAUAUUUUAGCAGACUUUUUAUUCAAAAUCUAUAAUAUGCACAUGUGACAUGAGCCUACUAGGAGGCGUAUCUAGAUUGUAAAAUGAAUGCAGUUUGAUUGACAUCACUUCAGUGGACAGGGAGGAAUGCUAUGGAAUCCUGGGAUUUGUAGUUUGGUGAGUCACCAACGUUCCUUGGCAAUGAAGGCUGAAGACAUUGUAAAACUGCACCUUCCAUGAUUCCAUACCAUUCAGACAUGGCAGUUAAAGUGGUGUCAAACUGCACUCUGAGAAAUAAGAGCAUAAGAACUUGUUACUAGAAUCCAGUGAAACUAAUUCAACACAAUCAAAUUAAAAACAAAUUGAAAAGCAUACCAAUAAAAAAGUUGACUAUAUCUUUGGUCUUACUCCCCCUGGUCUCCCUUAAAAAGCCCUUUCCUCAGCAUCCAAUCAUCUGAUCAUAGCCUUCUGGAAUUAAAAAAAGGUCUUUGCCUGCCAGCAAAAGGACAAGCAUCCCAUUACAUUUUAUGAUAAUAGCACAGUUUUAUUGAUAUUUGCAUUCUUGGUAUUUCUCAGCUACUCUGUGCACCUAUUUCCAGCAGGAUGUGUAAAUAAUAGCUACAUAAAUAAAUGGUUAUGCUCCACGAGACACUGAAUUAGAAAAAGGUGGUGAGUUUUGGAGAGGCAGGGGAUACCUGGGGAGAAUACGAUCCUUUCUCAGGACAGGAUGAAUCAGAGAAACCAGAAACUCUAGGAAAAAGUAUAAGGAUAUCCUUGAGGCUUUUGAUUGGGCACAUUUUUGCUAAUGGAACUGCUCUCUGCUUGUGCUGAGCAACACAAAUUCUCUGUGUUCCUUAGCAGAAAUACAAUGUUAUGGUUGAGCCUUCUGGCUCCGGUACUAGGAGACGGGGUCGUAAGACUCCUCGAGAGUCAGACUCUUUUGAGGAGUGUGAAAGGAAACGGCUCCGGGACUUAUUUGCAGAACCAACAGAUGAAGACUCAUUUGAGGGUUUUACCGAGGGAAUGGAGGAAGAGAUGGUUAGCUCAGAGGAGGAUGACAUGGAGUGGACUCGUGUGAGGGAGGAUUUGGGUGUCACCGGCAAUGAUAGCAUGGGAGGCGAUUGGCGGGUUGCAGGAUCAGACCCAUGGACGGGCUGGAGGGAUGGAGCGGGAUCCACAGCUGGGGAUGCUGUGGGGCGUAGUCAAAGGUGUUUUAGCUCUGAUGAGGAUGAUGAUGAUGAGGCACCUGGAAUUAGGAUAGCAGCUGACAGCGAUGAGGAGUUAUGAACUGGGAUAAAAUGGGGUUUAGGAUCAAUGGCUAAUUGCGUUGGGCAAGGUAAUCUGGACGAACGCUUGGGCUCUUGUUGGGGAACUUCCUAAAGACGGGUGUGAUUCGUUGCUGGAUACCUUGGACCUCCGUCGUCUUUUUGACGGACAUUAAUUACCUACUCUGGAUUGACGCUGGACUGACUGACUGACUACGACCUUGGACUAUCCCUUCUGUGGCUAUCGGUGGAACUUGUGGAACUUUAGACGUCUGCGCUUGGCUUUCGACCUUGGACCGGAUUGGGACCCUGCUGACCGCCGUUACCCUGAUUGAUGUGCCUGGACCUGGAUUUCGCUCGUUGCACGGAGGAGUAAACAGCCUGAGUUACUCAUCUGUAGCUUUUGAGUAGCAGAGAGGAAUCUGCUGCCAGUUUUUUGUGUUCAUUUUGACCUCUGUUUACCAACUUUUGUUUGUUUAAAUUGCCAGGCUGAAGUAAGCACUUUUGAUUUAAUCCGGAUUAAACUCCUGUUUAAUCCGGUUUAUUCUUUCGAACCGUUUUAAUUCAAACGGAGCUGUUUCUGUUACUUUUCACACUGAAGACAAGUGUUUGCCUAGUCCUUUGCUUCCUACGGGCAUUUUUUAGUUCUGUAACUUCAAUAAACUGUGUUGUACUCUA